rnacentral:rRNA from 1 species
AUUGAACGCUGGCGGCAGGCCUAACACAUGCAAGUCGAACGAGUGGCGGACGGGUGAGUAAUGUCUGGGAAACUGCCUGAUGGAGGGGGAUAACUACUGGAAACGGUAGCUAAUACCGCAUACCAUCAGAUGUGCCCAGAUGGGAUUAGCUAGUUGGGGGGGUAACGGCUCACCAAGGCGACGAUCCCUAGCUGGUCUGCGAGGAUGCCGAGCCACAUUGGAACGGAGACACGGUCCAGACUCCUGCGGGAGGCAGAAGUGGGGAAUAUUACACAUGGGGCGCAAGCACGAUGCAGCCAUGCCGCGUGUAUGAAGAGGGCCUUCGGGUUGUAAAGUACUUGCAGCGGGGAGGCGUUACCCGUAGAAGAAGCACCGGCUAACUCCGUGCCAGCAGCCGCGGUAAUAC